rnacentral:rRNA from 1 species
UACGAACCGUCCAAACGUUACUCGGAAUCACUGGGCUUAAAGGGUGCGUAGGCCGCGCGGAGGGUGGGAUGUGAAAUCCCCCGGCUCAACCGGGGAAUAGCGUCCCAAACCGCCGUGCUCGAGGGAGACAGAGGUGAGCGGAACUGAUGGUGGAGCGGUGAAAUGCGUUGACAUCAUCAGGAACACCAGUGGCGAAAGCGGCUCACUGGGUCUUUCCUAACGCUGAGGCACGAAAGCUAGGGGAGCGAACGGG